ACCAUUAUAAACAGUUAUCGACUACGUGUUACGAUCAUUAAUGGGAGUAAACAACCCACUAACUCCAUGAUUAUGAUCCGAUAAUCUAACGCUAUAAAAAAUAAAAUCACGUGCUCGACGGUUACAUCAGAAUCAUCUAGAAAAAGAGAGGUAAACGAGCAGCAUGGAUAAGACAAUUCUGGGCCAAGACUCUGUCACUUUCAAUAUUCUUAGUUGUUCACCAACCUCCUCUCUGACUUAAGCAUCGGACGGUCUCCGCCGAACAUAACUCUGAUCUAUGAGGAUUUUGUCUUGCAGGUGCUUUUCAUCGAUGACAGACAACAGAAAGUUGGCCGCAACAGAUUAGCGCAUU
rnacentral:lncRNA from 1 species